rnacentral:misc_RNA from 1 species
AUUAUUGUUUGUUCCAGGAUCUUAUGACGAAACAGAUUAUUGGUAGAGGAUAUAAGUCUGGUGAUCUCUACAUCCUGGAUAAACAUGUACCGCGGUCUCUUACUUGCUCCAGCGCCUUAACUCCUCUCGAAAUUCAUUGUCGUUUGGGCCAUCCCUUCUUGGUUGCCUUGAAGAAGUUGUAUCCUCAAUUUCAGUUUUCGUCAAUCUUAGAGUGUGAGUCAUGUCAGUUUACUAAGCACCAUCGUUUACCUUCUACACCAAGAGUCAAUAAACAGGCUUCGUCCCCUUUUGAGUUAGUUUAUUCUAAUAUUUGGGGUCCUUAUUCUAUUACUUCUAAAACUGAUUUCAAGUAUUUUGUUACAUUUGU